AGCUUUGUGCAGUGGCAGUAUCGUAGCCAAUGAGGUUUAUCCGAGGCGCAAUUAUUGCUAAUUGAAACAGACCACCCAAAAAAGAUAAAAAUAUUUGCCAAUACUUUUUUUUAAUGUGAGUAUAGUUGACACACAAU